rnacentral:lncRNA from 1 species
GUGGAUUAUGGCGAUAAAAUUUCUAUUUUGCCCAUACAUAUCAUAAUUAUUAUGGUUUAAUGGGAGCAGGCUGUUGAAGUAUUUUUCAUAGUCUUUAAUUAUUGAUAUAUGGCCAAAUUUGUAUCCAACAGUCAGAAUUUUUACAUAGAAGUAGUUAUCCAAGGAUUGUUUUCUUUUCCCCUUGUGUCCAUACGAAUACUAUAAAUACAUGAUCU